AACGCGAAGAACCUUACCUGGGCUUGAACCGCACAGGACCACCCCGAGAAAUCGGGGCUUCCCGCAAGGGACCUGUGUAGAGGUGCUGCAUGGCUGUCGUCAGCUCGUGCCGUGAGGUGUUGGGUUAAGUCCCGCAACGAGCGCAACCCUUACUCGUAGUUGCCACCCGCAAGGGGGAACUCUACGAGGACUGCUCCGGAUAACGGAGAGGAAGGUGGGGAUGAGGUCAAGUCAGCAUGGCCUUUAUGUCCAGGGCUACACACGUGUUACAAUGCGCGCCACAAAGCGUUGCAAACCCGCGAGGGGGAGCUAAUCGCAAAAAAGCGCGCUCAGUUCGGAUUGCAGUCUGCAACUCGACUGCAUGAAGCCGGAAUCGCUAGUAAUGGCGCAUCAGAACGGCGCCGUGAAUACGUUCCCGGGCCUUGUACACACCGCGAGC
rnacentral:rRNA from 1 species